CUCAUAGGAAAAAUUUGUACAGGUUUAGGGAAGUCAUAGAAGAGCAUCACAAGGCCCAAUAGCUAUACCCUUAUGAACACCUAAGAUGAUGCUAAGUGAAAUGAACUCCAUGUUAUGGAGACAAUUGUUAUAUCACAGUUGUGACUACUUU